GAUGAACGCUGGCGGCGUGCCUAAUACAUGCAAGUCGAGCGAACAGACGAGGAGCUUGCUCCUCUGACGUUAGCGGCGGACGGGUGAGUAACACGUGGAUAACCUACCUAUCAGACUGGGAUAACUUCGGGAAACCGGAGCUAAUACCGGAUAAUCUAUUGAACCGCAUGGUUCAAUAGUGAAAGACGGUUUUGCUGUCACUUAUAGACGGAUCCGCGCCGCAUUGGCUAGUUGGUAAGGUAACGGCUUACCAAGGCAACGAUGCGUAGCCGACCUGAGAGGGUGAUCGGCCGCACUGGAACUGAGACACGGUCCAGACUCCUACGGGAGGCAGCAGUAGGGAAUCUUCCGCAAUGGGCGAAAGCCUGACGGAGCAACGCCGCGUGAGUGAUGAAGGUCUUCGGAUCGUAAAACUCUGUUAUUAGGGAAGAACAAAUGUGUAAGUAACUAUGCACGUCUUGACGGUACCUAAUCAGAAAGCCACGGCUAACUACGUG
rnacentral:rRNA from 1 species